rnacentral:rRNA from 1 species
CCUACUGGCGGCAGCAGUGGGGAAUAUUGCACAAUGGGGGAAACCCUGAUGCAUCGCCGCCGCUUGCGUUCUUCCUUCUUUCUUUCUUUCCCUCUCUCUCCUCCUUUCAUCACAUGACGGUACCUGACUAAGAAGCCCCGGCUAACUACGUGCCAGCAGCCGCGGUAAUACGUAGGGGGCAAGCGUUAUCCGGAUUUACUGGGUGUAAAGGGAGCGUAGACGGCUAAUCAAGUCAGAAGUGAAAACCCAGGGCUCAACCUUGGGAGUGCUUUUGAAACUGAGUAGCUAGAGUGCAGGAGAGGUAAGCGGAAUUCCUAGUGUAGCGGUGAAAUGCGUAGAUAUUAGGAGGAACACCAGUGGCGAAGGCGGCUUACUGGACUGUAACUGACGUUGAGGCUCGAAAGCGUGGGGAGCAAACAGGAUUAGAGAAAAGAGGAGUC